GCCGCUUUAGCUCAGUGGUAGAGCGCAUCCUUGGUAAGGAUGAGGUCCCGAGUUCAACUCUCGGAAGCGGCU
rnacentral:tRNA from 1 species